GAUGAACGCUAGCGGCAGGCUUAAUACAUGCAAGUCGAGGGGCAGCAUGACUGUAGCAAUACAGUUGAUGGCGUCCGGCAAACGGGUGCGGAACACGUACAGAACCUUCCUUCGAGCGGGGAAUAGCCCAGAGAAAUUUGGAUUAAUACCCCAUAGUACAACGGAGUGGCAUCACUUUGUUGUUAAAGAUUUAUCACUUGAAGAUGGCUGUGCGGCUGAUUAGGUAGUUGGCGGGGUAACGGCCCACCAAGCCUGCGAUCAGUAACUGGUGUGAGAGCACGACCAGUCACACGGGCACUGAGACACGGGCCCGACUCCUACGGGAGGCAGCAGUAAGGAAUAUUGGUCAAUGGACGAAAGUCUGAACCAGCCAUGCCGCGUGGAGGAUGAAGGUCCUCUGGAUUGUAAACUUCUUUUAUAUGGGACGAAAAAAGGGUUUUCUAACUCGUCUGACGGUACCAUAUGAAUAAGCACCGGCUAACUCCGUGCCAGCAGCCGCUGUAACAC
rnacentral:rRNA from 1 species